CUUCUCAUCGCAUCCUCGCGACUAAUGACAAUCCUUAUCCCAACGGAUAAAGCCUCUCAUUAGCCGCGCGAACCUCAGCAAUGGAAGAAUCUACUUAGCGUUCAUCGCCAUGCGGACGAGACCGGCCCCGGGAUGAGCGCUGCCUAGAAGAAAGGGGCCUUAUGUGGCCCCUUUCU
rnacentral:sRNA from 1 species